rnacentral:rRNA from 1 species
AAGGACGAAGGGGUUGCAAUAAAAUGGUGGCUGCGACUGUUUAAUAAAAACACAGCACUCUGCAAACACGAAAGUGGACGUAUAGGGUGUGACGCCUGCCCGGUGCCGGAAGAUUAAAUGAUGGGGUGCAAGCUCUUGAUUGAAGUCCCGGUAAACGGCGGCCGUAACUAUAACGGUCCUAAGGUAGCGAAAUUCCUUGUCGGGUAAGUUCCGACCUGCACGAAUGGCGUAACGAUGGCCACACUGUCUCCUCCCGAGACUCAGCGAAGUUGAAGUGUUUGUGAUGAUGCAAUCUCCCCGCGGCUAGACGGAAAGACCCCAUGAACCUUUACUGUAGCUUUGCAUUGGACUUUGAACCGAUCUGUGUAGGAUAGGUGGGAGGCUUUGAAACCGGGACGCUAGUUUCGGUGGAGCCGUCCUUGAAAUACCACCCUGGUUUGUUUGAGGUUCUAACCUUGGCCCGUGAAUCCGGGUCGGGGACAGUGCAUGGUAGGCAGUUUGACUGGGGCGGUCUCCUCCCAAAGUGUAACGGAGGAGUUCGAAGGUACGCUUGGUACGGUCGGACAUCGUACCUAAAGUGCAAUGGCAAAAGCGUGCUUAACUGCGAGACCGACAAGUCGAGCAGGUGCGAAAGCAGGACAUAGUGAUCCGGUGGUUCUGUAUGGAAGGGCCAUCGCUCAACGGAUAAAAGGUACUCUGGGGAUAACAGGCUGAUACCGCCCAAGAGUUCAUAUCGACGGCGGUGUUUGGCACCUCGAUG